CCUACGGGUGACAGCAGUGAGGAAUAUUGGUCAAUGGGCGCGAGCCUGAACCAGCCAAGUAGCGUGAAGGAUGACUGCCCUACGGGUUGUAAACUUCUUUUAUAAGGGAAUAAAGUGAGCCACGUGUGCGUUUUUGUAUGUACUUUAUGAAUAAGGAUCGGCCAACUCCGUGCCAGCAGCCGCGGUAAUACGGAGGAUCCGAGGGUUAUCCGGAUUUAUUGGGUUUAAAGGGAGCGUAGAUGGGAUGUUAAGUCAGUUGUGAAAGUUUGCGGCUCAACCGUAAAAUUGCAAUUGAUACUGGCGGUCUUGAGUACAGGUGAGGUAGGCGGAAUGCGUGGUGUAGCGGUGAAAUGCUUAGAUAUCACGAAGAACUCCGAUUGCGAAGGCAGCUUACUAAACUGCAACUGACAUUGAUGCUCGAAAGUGUGGGUAUCAAACAGGAUUAGAUACCCGAGUAGUC
rnacentral:rRNA from 1 species